ensembl:lncRNA
AUGCGGCCAUGUAGGGACACAUGGAUUCAACCAUGUCCAUCUGCCUUACAAAUAAGGGUUUUCAUCAGUUGGGCACAAAACAGCCUUUAUAGCGAUUUCAUUGUUAUAAGACUCGGGUGUAGACUAAACUUUGGCAAGUUCUGCUUGCUGAAAAAAAAACUGUCAAGCUGCGUCCUGAGCACCGGUAGACUGAAUCUCCUGCAAGGACUCUAGAGUGGAGGACAUUUCUGCGUCUGCUACAAGCCCCUCCUCUUCCACUGUGAGGAUGUGUAAUCUCCAACCUUGCUGCACGUCUCGCGACAAGCUAAUCUGUCGAGGCCACAACGUGCUUUUGGGGUGGAGGAUAAGUGACGAGCAUCUUGUGGAACACUUGUCCCUGUCUAAACUGACUGACAAAGCAAUCCUCACUCAAAUGGACUGCAUUUAAUAGGCCACAGUCUUCUCUCGCAUUAACGUAAUCAGGUAAUUCCAGAAUAUGGGAGAAGAAUAGGCAGAAUGUCCCUUCUCUGCUCAACCCAUCAGUUGCUUUCUAAUUAUUAUUCAUAUAAAUACAUUAUUGAUUUUAUAUUUUCUGUUGAAUCAGUCCUACAACAGAAUUCUGGAUGAUCCCAGAUUUCUGUCCUGGAAUGUCCAAGAAGUUACUUGUUUUCUUGAUUUUCUAAGGAAAAAUAAUAAAGAGAAUUUUUUGCAAAUUUUAUAGUGCACAGUAUCUAUUUAUUUGCUGAGUUAACC